rnacentral:rRNA from 1 species
UACGUAGGGUGCUAGCGUUGUUCGGAAUCAUUGGGCGUAAAGCGCGUGUAGGCGGUUAGGUAAGUCUUGUGUGAAAUCCCUGGGCUCAACCGAGGAAGUGCAUGGGAAACUACUUAGCUUGAAGACGGCAGAGGAAGGUGGAAUUCCAAGUGUAGAGGUGAAAUUCGUAGAUAUUUGGAGGAAUACCGGUGGCGAAGGCGGCCUUCUGGACCGUUCUUGACGCUGAGACGCGAAAGCGUGGGGAGCAAACAGG